rnacentral:tRNA from 1 species
AGGCUUUAAGUUAAAUAAACUAAUAGCCUUCAAAGCUAUAAAUAUAGGUAUGCCUUUAAGCCUUA